AUAUGAUUGAAAAUGCAUUGAUAUAUAGUUGACCGGGAAAUAUGAUUGAAAAUGCAUUGAUUUAUAGUUGACCGGGAAAUAUGAUUGAAAAGCCAUUGAUUUUUGGUUGACCGGGAGAUCAUCGGGUGGUAGACCAACGUACUGCACCGGACACAUCUCAUUUCUGGACUCUUGGGGCGAAUACGAUCAGAGAGGAAAAUGCCAGGCGGAGAGGGAAGAAAAGAGAUCACCUGCCAGAGGGACUGAAGCAAGUAAAAAGAUGCUCUUACACAGCAGAUGGGGACAGCCAGCGUCACCCAAUUUACUUUUGCCCAGGCCGUGCAACAGUUGCUGCGCUAUGCGUCAGAACGGGCAGGAUGGACUGGACGACAAUCAGUCAGACGUCAGAGGACCAUGAACUGUAACUAUGCUAAAGAGGACAAAUAAUGAAAUAAGAGGCUAAUAAAAUGAAUUUGUUUUUACCUUAAA